rnacentral:rRNA from 1 species
AGUGAACGCUGGCGGUAGGCCUAACACAUGCAAGUCGAACGGCAGCACAGUAAGAGCUUGCUCUUACGGGUGGCGAGUGGCGGACGGGUGAGGAAUACAUCGGAAUCUACUUUUUCGUGGGGGAUAACGUAGGGAAACUUACGCUAAUACCGCAUACGACCUACGGGUGAAAGCAGGGGAUCUUCGGACCUUGCGCGAUUGAAUGAGCCGAUGUCGGAUUAGCUAGUUGGCGGGGUAAAGGCCCACCAAGGCGACGAUCCGUAGCUGGUCUGAGAGGAUGAUCAGCCACAGUGGAGCUGAGACACGGUCCAGACUCCUACGGGAGGCAGCAGUGGGGAAUAUUGGACAAUGGGCGCAAGCCUGAUCCAGCCAUACCGCGUGGGUGAAGAAGGCCUUCGGGUGGUAAAGCCCUUUUGUUGGGAAAGAAAAGCAGCAGGUUAAUACCCCGCUGUUCUGACGGUACCCAAAGAAUAAGCACCGGCUAACUUCGU